AUGACUGCUGGUUCCGCGAUACUGGGCCCACGUUUGUUGUAAGGAAAAGAAUGUCAAAUUCUGGUACAGCAGUGGAAUCUGUCGCAGGAAUUGAUUGGAACUUCAAUAGUUGGGGAGGUGUCGAGGAUGGUUGUUACGCCGAUUGGAGUCUUGAUCUUCUAGUUGCAAGGAAGAUCCUGGAUAUUGAGAGAGUUCCUAGGUUUUUGAACACAAUUGUUCUUGAAGGUGGAUCCAUCCAUGUAGAUGGAGAAGGGACUUGUCUUACCA
rnacentral:misc_RNA from 1 species